AUUCAAACACCGGUUUUAGUACGAUCACCGAAGUUAAGCAACGUCGAGUCUGGUUGUACUUAGAUGGGUGACUACUUGGAAAUUCCAGCUGCUAC